UGAAGGAACUAGGCAAAAUGGUGCCGUAACUUCGUGAGAAGGCACGAUGGUGUGUAGGUGAAGUCCCUGAGGAUGGAGCUGAGACCAGUCGAAGAUACAAGCUGGCUGCAACUGUUUAUUAAAAACACAGCACUGUGCAAACACGAAAGUGGACGUAUACGGUGUGACUCCUGCCCGGUGCCGGAAGGUUAAUUGAUGGGGUUAUCCGUAAGGAGAAGCUCUUGAUCGAAGCCCCGGUAAACGGAGG
rnacentral:rRNA from 1 species